AGUGAGUAAAUAAAAUAUAUGGUGAAUAAAAUAUACUUUCGGUAUAUUACCAGAGUGGUAAUAUAAGUACUAAUUAUUUUGUACUUUGCAGUUAUUUUAUUACAGGUAUCUCGAUCUAUUUUAAUACAUGUAGCCGUCAAACCUGUUUGUCCAGUUCACAUGUCCACCUGAGUAUGUUUCACCUGUAUUGUAUUGUCAUGUUAAUGUCUUGUCACGUGACUGCGUGUUCGUACGUGUACUUGUGAGUUUUAUUUGUCACUCCCGCACUCGACAUCAGAGGUAGCUGACGUACUUUAUACAUGCGACAUAUAUGACAACAUACAGUGUUAAAUGCAGCAAUAUCCUAAAAUGAAUUAAACAUGUAGAUGUCGGAUCAGAAUUGUUGAUAUUGUCAUUAAGACCACUGUCGGAUUGAUAGGGGUCUUAUUCGUAAUAGAAAUAAAGAGUGCUUAAACGGAAACAACAGUAUUGCUGUUUUAAUUCAAUGUAGCACCGACCCGGCUACA